AUUGAACGCUAGCGGGAUGCCUUACACAUGCAAGUCGAACGGCAGCACGGGGCAACCUGGUGGCGAGUGGCGAACGGGUGAGUAAUGUAUCGGAACGUGCCCAGUAGCGGGGGAUAACUACGCGAAAGCGUAGCUAAUACCGCAUACGCCCUACGGGGGAAAGGGGGGGAUCGCAAGACCUCUCACUAUUGGAGCGGCCGAUAUCGGAUUAGCUAGUUGGUGAGGUAAAGGCUCACCAAGGCUUCGAUCCGUAGCUGGUUUGAGAGGACGACCAGCCACACUGGGACUGAGACACGGCCCAGACUCCUACGGGAGGCAGCAGUGGGGAAUUUUGGACAAUGGGGGCAACCCUGAUCCAGCAAUGCCGCGUGUGCGAAGAAGGCCUUCGGGUUGUAAAGCACUUUUGGCGGGAACGAAACGGUGCCGGAUAAUACCUGGCGCCACUGACGGUACCCGCAGAAUAAGCACCGGCUAACUACGUG
rnacentral:rRNA from 1 species